GGUUCUAUGGUCUAGCGGCUAUGACGUCUCCUUUACAAACGGAGAAGAUCCCGAGUUCGAUCCUCGGUAGAAUCA